GACGAACGCUGGCGGCGUGCUUAACACAUGCAAGUCGAACGGAAAGGCCCUGCUUUUGUGGGGUGCUCGAGUGGCGAACGGGUGAGUAACACGUGAGUAACCUGGCCUUGACGUUGUGAUAACUUCAGGAAACUGGGGCUAAUACCGGAUAGGAGCUCCUGCUGCAUGGUGGGGGUUGGAAAGUUUCGGCGGUUGGGGAUGGACGCGCGGCUUAUCAGCUUGUGGGUGGGGUAGUGGCUUACCAAGGCUUUGACGGGUAGCCGGCCUGAGAGGGUGACCGGCCACAUUGGGACUGAGAUACGGCCCAGACUCCUACGGGAGGCAGCAGUGGGGAAUAUUGCACAAUGGGCGGAAGCCUGAUGCAGCAACGCCGCGUGCGGGAUGACGGCCUUCGGGUUGUAAACCGCUUUCGCCUGUGACGAAGCGUGAGUGACGGUAAUGGGUAAAGAAGCACCGGCUAACUACGUG
rnacentral:rRNA from 1 species